rnacentral:rRNA from 1 species
UAAGGAAUAUUGGUCAAUGGACGCAAGUCUGAACCAGCCAUGCCGCGUGAAGGAUGAAGGUCCUCUGGAUUGUAAACUUCUUUUAUCUGGGACGAAACACUUUGAUUCUUCAGAGCUUGACGGUACCAGAGGAAUAAGCACCGGCUAACUCCGUGCCAGCAGCCGCGGUAAUACGGAGGGUGCAAGCGUUAUCCGGAUUCACUGGGUUUAAAGGGUGCGUAGGUGGGUUGGUAAGUCAGUGGUGAAAUCUCCGUGCUUAACAUGGAAACUGCCAUUGAUACUACUGGUCUUGAAUCUUCUGGAGGUUAGCGGAAUAUGUCAUGUAGCGGUGAAAUGCUUAGAUAUGACAUAGAACACCAAUUGCGAAGGCAGCUAGCUACAGGGGUAUUGACACUGAGGCACGAAAGCGUGGGGAUCAAACAG